AUGCGUGCGCCGGCGGGGAGGAGGCGGGGCUCCCAGCCUCGCGACGAGGCCGCUCACUUUGUGAUGAGCGAUCUUGCGCUAAGCGACGACCACGCCAUGCUGCUCCAUGGCCAUGGCCGCGGCGAAUCCAAGAUCUACCCAGGCCAUCGGGCCGUGUUCUCGGCAAAUCCAAGAGCCGUACAGGGUGGUGGCGCCAACGAAUCACCACGCCAAACGAGGAGUUCAUGUGCACAGGCAAUUUGGAAGAACGACGCUGCUCUCCUCCCGAUGAGUGCGGAAGCAAAACUGUUCUCCCCCGACGGGUACGCUGGAAUCCGCAACGUCUCAGGCGUUUUCUGCUCACAAGAAGGGGGUCAUAUCGAUGCUGUGCCAGCGCAGGACGAUCAGCACAAGAGCAGAGAGAGUGAUCUUCUCCUCUUCGACUGGCCUGAGCUGGAUGACUUGGAGGAUCUCGACACAGACCUGAGAAAACUCGAUUCGGCGUUUGAGUUAGGGAUCGAUUACUUUGAUCACCCGAUGUGGUCCUCCAUUUGCUCGCCGGACGUUCAGCUCGUGCCGAGCAGCCACUCUGACAACCCCCAUCCGUCCAAUGUUGCGAACGAUCAGCAGCUAUCCUGGAAGAAAGGAAAGGACACGCCACUGAACUCGUCUUCCUCCUCCGUGGAGAUCGAGCAUUUCCCAGGGCUGUCAGACGCCGACCUCCUCUGCCCCUUCGACUUCCAUGACAUGCUCGUCCCAACAUCGUCCAGCGUCAUGUGCAACGACGAGAUCAUCAUGUCUUCCUCCGCUGCUCGCUCCAGCAUCAUGUGCAACGACGAGAGCAUCAUGUCUUCCUCCGCUGCUCGCUCCGGGGCAGACGACCUCGUCUCGGCGUACGUUUCGACGAAGAAUAGUCAGCCGCGUGCGACUCCGGACAUGAUCCUGGACGAGAUGGCCGGGAACCCGCUCGAGAUGUACUUCCCUCCGCUGGCCACGUGCGAGCAGCCUCAGGUGCCGAUGAGUGGCACCGCCUCGACGCUCGCCGGCGACGGUGCUCUGAACGGUGCAGCCAUGCACUCUGGCUCCAAUGGGAGGAGGAGCUCGGGCGGGGUGCGUGAGAACGCUCGGCCAUCGUCUGUUCCGGAAGCGGCGCCGGUGCCGGUGAGGCAUCUCGGGUUCCAGAAGCUUCAGGAAGGCAUGAAUCAGUUGGACGUGGGAACCAAGGCGUGCAUCAGAGACGCCCUGUACCGGCUGGCCUACAGCGUGGAGCAGAGGCAUCAGGCAGUGGAACAGAACGUGGGCUCCUCGGCUGCAAACAGGCUCAGCACAUCGAGCGUGUGGGCGGAGACCGAGAGGAGCCCCAUGGAUCGCUCCGUGGCGCAGCUUCUUCUGCAGAAGCCGCUGGAUCGGAGGACGGCGAAUCGUGCCGCGUGA
rnacentral:rRNA from 1 species